rnacentral:rRNA from 1 species
UUAGAGUUUGAUCCUGGCUCAGGAUGAACGCUAGCGACAGGCUUAACACAUGCAAGUCGAGGGGCAGCAUUGUAAUUAGCUUGCUAAUUACAGAUGGCGACCGGCGCACGGGUGAGUAACGCGUAUGGAACCUGCCCUUUACAGGGGGAUAGCCCAUGGAAACGUGGAUUAAAAUCCCAUAAUACUUUGUUCAGGCAUCUGAAUGGAGUUAAAUCUACGGAGGUAAAGGAUGGCCAUGCGUCCUAUUAGUUAGUUGGCGGGGUAACGGCCCACCAAGGCGAUGAUAGGUAGGGGUUCUGAGAGGAAGGUCCCCCACAUUGGAACUGAGACACGGUCCAAACUCCUACGGGAGGCAGCAGUGAGGAAUAUUGGUCAAUGGCCGGAAGGCUGAACCAGCCAAGUCGCGUGAGGGAAGACUGCCCCAUGGGUUGUAAACCUCUUUUAUUCGGGAAGAAUAAGUUUCACGCGUGGAACGAUGCCUGUACCGAAUGAAUAAGCAUCGGCUAACUCCGUGCCAGCAGCCGCGGUAAUACGGAGGAUGCGAGCGUUAUCCGGAUUUAUUGGGUUUAAAGGGUGCGUAGGCGGUUGAUUAAGUUAGUGGUAAAAUGUCAUGGCUAAACCUUGGCCUGCCAUUAAUACUGGUCAGCUUGAGUACAGACGAGGUAGGCGGAAUAAGUUAAGUAGCGGUGAAAUGCUUAGAUAUAACUUAGAACUCCGAUAGCGAAGGCAGCUUACCAGACUGUUACUGACGCUGAAGCACGAGAGCGUGGGUAGCGAACAGGAUUAGAUACCCUGGUAGUCCACACUGUAAACGAUGAUGACUAACCGUCGGCGAUACACAGUCCGGGGGCCAAGCGAAAGCGAUAAGUCAUCCCACUUGGGGAGUACGACCGCAAGGUUGAAACUCAAAGGAAUUGACGGGGGCCCGCACAAGCGGAGGAACAUGUGGUUUAAUUCGAUGAUACGCGAGGAACCUUACCCGGGCUCGAACGGCAGAUGGAUUGAGUAGAGAUAUUCAAGUCUUCGGACAUCUGUCGAGGUGCUGCAUGGUUGUCGUCAGCUCGUGCUGUGAAGUGUCGGCUUAAGUGCCAUAACGAGCGCAACCCUUGCCGUUAGUUGCCAUCAGGUUAAGCUGGGGACUCUAGCGGGACUGCCACCGCAAGGUGUGAGGAAGGGGGGGAUGACGUCAAAUCAGCACGGCCCUUUCGUCCGGGGCGACACACGUGUUACAAUGGCGAGUACAGAGGGAAGCUACCUGGCGACAGGAUGCAGAUCUCGAAAGCUCGUCCCAGUUCGGAUUGGAGUCUGCAACCCGACUCCAUGAAGUUGGAUUCGCUAGUAAUCGCGCAUCAGCCAUGGCGCGGUGAAUACGUUCCCGGGCCUUGCACUCACCGCCCGUCAAG